rnacentral:lncRNA from 1 species
CUACUCUUGGCACAUUCCCACUGUCCACUCUUGCUAAGAAUUUGAAGUGCAUGCCAAUCCAUUUUCUUAUCAAAAAGCAUAAUAGAUGCUAUAGAUCUGGAAAGAAAAUGUGUACAAAUAUUAUUGUCAGUUAAAUUGGGCAUGUUUAUCAACUUUUGUUUUAGUCAAUCAAUUAAUCUCAUUUAAAGUAAAUCAGCAUAGAAGUACAGGGCGAUAAGCAAGAAACCAUUUUCUAAAAUAUAAAUAAUGCUAAGAUUGAAUUAUUCUUAACCCUAUAGUCCUUAUAGAUACAUUUAAUCAUAUUAGCCCAUAUGAUAGCAUUGCAUCUAUAAAUAAAACACACCUUUAACAUAAUUGUACACCGAAAAGAAUAAUAAAAUCCUCUCUCCUCUUUAUUUUUGUUCUUGUUCAAUGAGUUUCGCGACACAUUUAUUAGCUCGAGCUUAUUAGCUGAAAUAUGCAAUUCUCAUUAAUCUUUUUUAUAUUUUUGUAUUGAUGAUUAUAUGUUAUAUUGUUACAAUUUCAUCGAUUAGAAUUGUUGUGCGAAUUAUAUUAUAUUAUUUUGUUACUUCAUAUGUAUCCUUGAAGGAUUAUACCUAAAAACAUGCAUAAAUGAUACUUGGUUUCAAAAGAGAUAUAUUUUCGAUUUAAAUACAAUUAUAUAUAUGGUUUUGAAAUUGUUUCAAAAGAUAUAUUUUGGAUUCAAAUAAAAGAUUUGAUUUUGAAAUUGUUUUAAAAAGGUAUAUUUUGGAUUUAAAUAAAAUUAAAUAUAUAGUUUUAAAAUUGCUUCAAACGAUAUAUAUUUUUCCCUUAAAAAAAAGAUAUAUUUUAUUUAAAAAUAUCUAAGAUGUGCACAUAAGAAGUCUAUAAAUAGAACUCACAAGGUGUGAAAAGAAACCAUAUUCUCUCUAAAGCUCUAACUUGGAUAGCAUCCGUCACUAGAGAAGGUUUGUUUGGAGACAUCGUUAUUUUGCUUUGUUUGUGAUUGUAAACGUUUCAACAACAAUAUUUACGCACUUAAAAGAGGUAACAUUCCUAUCACUGAUUUGUCACUUAUUUGCGACAAAUUUUUAUUGAUCCAAGAAAGGGAAAAUAAAUUUUAAUCAUGUUGCGUUUUGUACUCUUCCCCUUCUCCUUCUUUCUAUCUCUCUACUUGUCUUUUUUCAUGUUCUCACAAAAAAAUUCAUACCAGAGAUCAUAUUUUUAGCAUGUUUUUCUUUAUUUUGCUUUUCUCACUAUCAUUUUUGCUCCAAACACCGCAAAAAUACCAAAAUACUUCGACAACGUUGCUCGUUAAUAACAUUGGUGCCAACGACCCUUGACUAUCGUCAAAGGGUAUUUUGAUAUUUUCGUGAUGCUUAAAAGCAAAAAUGAAAGUGAGAAGGGCAAUUUUUUUACUGAACAAAAGGGCAAAAUCCCAAAUCCAUUAACUUUUAUCACUCAAGUAAUCGUAAUAUGUAUAGACUAUUACUUUUC